ACUAAUCACGAUGGAUAUCUUGGCUCUUGAAACGAUGAAGAACGCAGCGAAAUGCGAUAGGUAAUGCGAAUUGCAGAACUCUGUGAGUCAUCAAAUCUUUGAACGCACAUUGCACUUCCUUUGGGAGUAUACUUGUUUGAGUAUUGGUAAUCGGUUCUAACGAUGGUUGAAGAUUGGCUGUGAGUAACAGCUGAAAGGGAAGAGUGGAAUGAAUUGGGUGGGUGCCAAAUUCAUCUCUAUGAAGUCGGCGUUUUACAAAGACGCAAACCCUAAUCUCAAAUCAAGUAAGAAGACCUGCUGAAUUGAAGCAUCUAACUAAGCAGAGGAAAAGAAAAUAACAAUGAUUCCCUUAGUAACGGCGAGUGAAGUGGGAGAAGCCCAAGCCAAAAUCACUGUAAAGUGAGUUGUAGUGUGAAGACUGGUGUGAAGGUGAAGAAGCAUCGAAUUUGAUUGGAAAGUCAAGUCAUAGAAGGUGAAAACCCUGUAAGAUGCGUCUCUUCACCCCUAAAAUACCAGUUCGUGGAGUCGAGUUGUUUGGGAUUGCAACUCGAAGUUGGUGGUAAACAUCAUCAAAGGCUAAAUAGUGUCAAGAGACCGAUAGCGAACAAGUACCGUGAGGGAAAGAUGAAAAGAACUUUGAAAAAAGAGUGAAAUAGUACUUGAAAUCGUGGUUAGGUUAAGCGCAGAGGCUGAGUGGUAUUGUAGAACUUGUGUCCUUUACAGUUGUGAAGGGUUUAAGUUGUAUGAUAGGUGUUUGUGGUGUUUGUCUCCUCCAACCUAGAGGGGGAUGAGCACCCCACACACAAAAUCAACCUCUUCGUCCCGUCUUGAAACACGGACCAAGGAGUCUAUCAUGGAUGCGAGUACGUUGGUGGCAAACCAAAGUGCGUAAUGAAAGUAAAUCGUGUGAUCAUUGAAAGAUGCGCAACAUGUGCCGAUCUGGAUUCUGUGAAGAAAGAUUCGAGUAAUAGCAUUUAUGGUGGGACCCGAAAGAUGGUGAACUAUGCCUGAAUAGGACGAAGCCAGGGGAAACUCUGGUGGAGGUUCGAGUGGAUUCUAACGUGCAAAUUGAUCUUUAAAUUUGGGUAUAGGGGCGAAAGACUAAUCGAACCAUCUAGUAGCUGGUUCCUUCCGAAAUUUCCCUCAGGAUAGCUGCAACUUAUGAAAUAGUUUUAUGAGGUAAAGCGAAUGAUUAGAGGCUUCGGGAAUGUACUAUUCUUGACCUAUUCUCAAACUUUAAAUGGGUAAGAAGCAGUUGAUGUUUAGUUAAUCAGCUGUGAUGAAUAUGAGUUGCAAGUGGGCCAUUCCGGGUAAGCUGGACUGGCGAUGCGGGAUCAACCGAACGCUAUGGUACGGCGCCUGAUUAUUCGCUCAGUAGGACGUAAAAGGUGUUAGUUCAUCUAGACAGCAGGACGGUGGCCAUGGAAGUCGGAAUCCGCUAAGGAGUGUGUAACAACUCACCUGCCGAAUGAAGUAGCCCUGAAAAUGGAUGGCGCUCAAGCGAAUAGCCUAACCAUAGCCAUUCAACUUAGUCGUAAAGUUGAAUGAGUAGGAAGGCGUGAUGGAGGUAGAGAAGACUAGCGUGUGAACGCAGUUGGAACGUCCAUUAGUGCAGAUCUUGGUGGAAGUAGCAAAUAUUCAAAUGAGAUCUUUGAAGACUGAAGUGGAGAAAGGUUCCAUAGGAAUCGUGAUGAUCUAUGGGUUAGUCGAUCCUAAGAGAUAGGUGAAAUCCAUUGAAAGGAUGACGUUAGUCAUCGUCUAUCGAAAGGGAAUCAGGUUAAUAUUCCUGAACCAAUAGAAGUGUGUCGGUAACGGUAUUGGGAUUGAAGACAUUGAUGGUACUCCUGGGAAGAGUUGUCUUUUCUUGUUAACAAAUGGCAGUCCUUGGAAUAAAUUCAGUUUGCGAGAAGGAUUGUGGUUUGGUAAAGGUUCCUGGUUGUUGGGAGCUCUGGUGCAGUAUCAGCAGUCCUUGAAAAUUCAAUUCCAACUCAGCUUCUAUUGUUCGUACUCAUAACCGCAUCAGGUCUCCAAGGUGAAUAGCCUCUAGUUAAUAGAAUAAUGUAGGUAAGGGAAGUCGGCAAAUUAGAUCCGUAACUUCGGGAAAAGGAUUGGCUCUGAGGGCUAAGCAGAAUGAGUAUUGGUUAGGAAACGGCUUGUGGUGCAUGGGUUUGUUGUGCUUUCGGGUGUGAUGAAUGUGUGUACUAUGAAAAGGGCUUUAACUAUUACUUCCCUGCAAUGAAUAGCUAACUCAGAACUGGUACGGACAAGGGGAAUCCGACUGUUUAAUUAAAACAAAGCAUUGUGAUGGUGUGAAAGAUAUGUUGACACAAUGUGAAUUCUGCCCAGUGCUCUGAAUGUCAAAGUGAAGGAAUUCAACCAAGCGCGGGUAAACGGCGGGAGUAACUAUGACUCUCUUAAGGUAGCCAAAUGCCUCGUCAUCUAAUUAGUGACGCGCAU
rnacentral:rRNA from 1 species